UACGUAGGGUGCGAGCGUUAAUCGGAUUUACUGGGCGUAAAGCGUGCGCAGGCGGCCCGUUAAGACAGGUGUGAAAUCCCUGGGCUCAACCUAGGAGUUGCGCUUGUGACUGGCGGGCUUGAGUACGGUAGAGGGGGGUGGAAUUCCUGGUGUAGCAGUGAAAUGCGUAGAGAUCAGGAGGAACACCGAUGGCGAAGGCAGCCCCCUGGGCCUGUACUGACGCUGAUGCGCGAAAGCGUGGGGAGCAAACAGG
rnacentral:rRNA from 1 species